rnacentral:lncRNA from 1 species
UCAUGCUUCGCGUGUCCAAGUAUUGGCCAUGGCAUCUCUCUGAAGGAAAACCAUGACGUGUUUACGAGGUAUGCGUCAUAAGACUGCGACAGAUAGCAUAAUCCUGAGCGAUCACGCAACCAGCAAAUUAGGCUCGACAUGACGCUGUCGCGAGUAGAAACGUACCCGACCGGUACCCGGGACGUGUUGGCAUGACAAGCAGAUUUGUUAAUAGCUAGUGACGAACGAGUCAGCAG